GACGAACGCUGGCGGCGUGCCUAACACAUGCAAGUCGAACGAAGAAUGUUUUUCGGAAUAUUCUUAGUGGCGGACGGGUGAGUAACGCGUGAACAAUCUGCCCCGUACAAAGGGAUAGCCUCGGGAAACCGGGAUUAAAACCAUAUAACACUUAACUGCCGCAUGGUAGUGAAGUCAAAUCGAUUAAGAGGUAUGGGAUGAGUUCGCGUCUGAUUAGCUAGUUGGUGAGGUAAGGGCUCACCAAGGCGACGAUCAGUAGCCGGCCUGAGAGGGUGAACGGCCACACUGGAACUGAGACACGGUCCAGACUCCUACGGGAGGCAGCAGUGGGGGAGUAUUGCACAAUGGAGGGAACUCUGAUGCAGCGACGCCGCGUGAGUGAAGAAGGUCUUCGGAUCGUAAAACUCUGUCCUUGGUGAAGAAAAGGACGGUAGCCAAGGGAGGAAGCCCCGGCUAACUACGUG
rnacentral:rRNA from 1 species